rnacentral:rRNA from 1 species
AUUGAACGCUGGCGGCGUGCUUAACACAUGCAAGUCGAGCGGUAACAGGUGUAGCAAUACAUGCUGACGAGCGGCGAACGGGUGAGUAAUGCUUCGGAAUCUUCCUAGUAGUGGGGAAUAACCUGGGGAAACUCAGGCUAAUACCGCAUACGAACUACGGUUGAAAGCAGGGGAUCGCAAGACCUUGCGCUAUUAGAUGAGCCGAAGUCGGAUUAGCUAGUUGGUGAGGUAAAGGCUCACCAAGGCGACGAUCCGUAGCUGGUCUGAGAGGACGACAAGCGACACCGGAACUGAGACACGGUCCAGACUCCUACGGGAGGAAGAAGUGGGGAAUAUUGAACAAUGGGGGCAACCCUGUUCAAGCGACGCCGCGUGUGUGAAGAAGGCCUGCGGGUUGUAAAGCACUUUUAGUGGGGACAAAAAGCCGAGGGCUAAUACUCGUUGGUCUUGAUUUUACCCAAAGAAAAAGCACCGGCUAACUCUGUGCCAGCAGCCGCCGUAACAC